rnacentral:rRNA from 1 species
UUUGAUCCUGGCUCAGAACGAACGCUGGCGGCAGGCCUAACACAUGCAAGUCGAGCGCACCCUUCGGGGCGAGCGGCGGACGGGUUAGUAACGCGUGGGAACAUACCCUUUUCUACGGAAUAGCCUCGGGAAACUGAGAGUAAUACCGUAUAAGCCCUUCGGGGGAAAGAUUUAUCGGGAAAGGAUUGGCCCGCGUUAGAUUAGAUAGUUGGUGGGGUAAUGGCCUACCAAGUCUACGAUCUAUAGCUGGUUUUAGAGGAUGAUCAGCAACACUGGGACUGAGACACGGCCCAGACUCCUACGGGAGGCAGCAGUGGGGAAUCUUAGACAAUGGGCGCAAGCCUGAUCUAGCCAUGCCGCGUGUGUGAUGAAGGCCUUAGGGUCGUAAAGCACUUUCGCCAGAGAUGAUAAUGACAGUAUCUGGUAAAGAAACCCCGGCUAACUCCGUGCCAGCAGCCGCGGUAAUAAGGG